rnacentral:rRNA from 1 species
AGCGAACGCUGGCGGCAGGCCUAACACAUGCAAGUCGAACGAACCUUUCGGGGUUAGUGGCGGACGGGUGAGUAACACGUGGGAACGUGCCUUUAGGUUCGGAAUAACUCAGGGAAACUUGUGCUAAUACCGAAUGUGCCCUUCGGGGGAAAGAUUAAUCGCCUUUAGAGCGGCCCGCGUCUGAUUAGCUAGUUGGUUGAGGUAAUGGCUCACCAAGGCGACGAUCAGUAGCUGGUCUGAGAGGAUGAUCAGCCACAUUGGGACUGAGACACGGCCCAAACUCCUACGGGAGGCAGCAGUGGGGAAUCUUGCGCAAUGGGCGAAAGCCUGACGCAGCCAUGCCGCGUGAAUGAUGAAGGUCUUAGGAUUGUAAAAUUCUUUCAGCGGGGACGAUAAUGACGGUACCCGGAGAAGAAGCCCCGGCUAACUUCGUG